rnacentral:tRNA from 1 species
GGGAGGGUAGUUCAGUUGGCAGAACACCCGGUGGUACCCAAUCCCACUGGUUCGACCUCGGUUCGAGUCCGAGUCCUCUCA